GACGAACGCUGGCGGUGUGCUUAACACAUGCAAGUCGACCGGUAAGGCCCUUUCGGGGGUACACGAGUGGCGAACGGGUGAGUAACACGUGAGUAACCUGCCCUCAUCUCUGGGAUAACAGUCGGAAACGGUUGCUAAUACUGGAUAUGAGCUUGCAAGGCAUCUUGUGGGUUGGAAAGAUUUUUUUUGGUUGGGGAUGGACUCGCGGCCUAUCAGCUUGUUGGUGAGGUAGUGGCUCACCAAGGCUUCGACGGGUAGCCGGCCUGAGAGGGCGACCGGCCACAUUGGGACUGAGAUACGGCCCAAACUCCUACGGGAGGCAGCAGUGGGGAAUAUUGCACAAUGGACGGAAGUCUGAUGCAGCAACGCCGCGUGCGGGAUGACGGCCUUCGGGUUGUAAACCGCUUUCAAUUGUGACGAAGCUUUUUUGUGACGGUAGCAGUAGAAGAAGCACCGGCUAACUACGUG
rnacentral:rRNA from 1 species